CGCAAAUAUCUCCCCAUUGGCCCUAAUGUAUUUCUUCUCCAAGAAAAUCCUUAUCGUCACUCAGGCUCAGACUUUUUUAACUCGCUGUUGUGGCCACAUUUUUCGGAGUACAGACAUGAAAAACACAUCAUUGUGUUCAUGAAGGACGGAGGAUUCGUACGAUGUUCUUAUUUUCAUUCUGGGACUUAAGGAAAUCACGCUAUGUGAAGAAGUUCACAGGCUUCAAAUCCUCUGCUGUUCAGCUGCUUGUCAUUCAAACAGUAGGUCAGUGAUUUGCCUUUGAUCUCACAGCUGUUUAGGAUGCAGUCAUUAAUGAGACACACACACACACACACACACACACACACAUUCUUGUACUUGUUGCAUUGUCAGGUCUACCUUGCAGUUCACCUGCUUGUACACACAGAUAAUAUGUGUCUGCUUCACCACCUAUCUCCACCCACAAACUUUGAGCUACAGAAACCAUUCUGGGCUUGAAAAAUUCAGCUCAUUGAGGACAUUUUGGGGUGUUUUGAGGAUUUUGAUAAUAAAUUGUAUUAAUGUGUUCAGCAGUUUUUGUGGUUCUCACAAGCUCCUUAUCAUGAAUAUAUACAGAGGAUGAGCGUCAGGGCCUACUUGGAGUCCUGUUUCCUUAGCUUCAAGCCUUCUUUCUCCUGCUAUAGUUAUGCAUCCAAGGUCCCCAUGGCAACCAAUUUGUGCACCUGGAGACACACAGCUGACUAGAAAGCUGCUUUUAAUGGCCAUAUGAGACAUAUGAAGCCAGGCUCAGUACACAUAGCACUGGGGAUGACACUUAAAACCCUUUUCUAGAGCGCUUGAAAAAACUUCAGCUCCUAUCUCCUCACCUGACCUUUGACCUACAGAAACCAUUCAGGGCUUUAAAAUUUAAACUCAUUGAGGACAUUAUGGGGUGUAUUCAGGAUUCAUUUAAAUUUUUCACUUUUAAAAGUCACUCAGUGAUGAUUUAUCAUUUAAUUUUUCAAACUAAUUUAAACUCAUUCAAACUGAUUCAAACCUUUCUAAUACUUUAAAAAUUUCUGAUACUUGAGGAUUUUUGAUUAUUUAAAUUUUCCCUGUUUUAAAUAAGUUUUAAUAUUUAUGCAUUACUCCAUCCUUCAAACAAAAUCCUACCUCAAGUACGACCACUACUGCUAAUGUCAAUUGAACUAGUACUUUCCCCUCUACUUCAACUGCUAUUGCUCCUUUUUCUACUUUCUCUACUUCAACUGCUAUUGCUCCUAUUUCUACCUUCUCUACUACUGUGACUUAUACUUCUUUUAUUCUCAAACUACUUCUACUGCUGACAUGACUACUAGUAUCACGACUUGACCUCCUAUACUACUUCUAGUACUACAACUUAAACUUAUGCCACUUCUCAACUUCCUGCCUUUUAAGGCAGUUUCCUUCUUCAUUCAAACUUUGUGCAAUUUUAGACAUUUUUCUAGCCUCUUUCAGCAUGAAUAAAAUUUCCUUUUAUAGAGCAUAUUCAUACUAUUUGUCCUUCAACCAAUUAAUCAAUUAUCCAACUUACAUUUCUUUUUCACCCCUUCAAACGCUUUAACAUUUAUACCUUUCUCCAUGUUUUAUUAGCAGUUUAGCAUUGCUUUUUCAGCUUUCAGCACUCAGCAUUUCCACGCAUUUUCUGCAAGGAAAUGCAAUUUUUCUAGUUAAGUGGAAAUGCUGAUUAAGCAUUUCCACUUAUUGUUAUUCUCCUGUUUCUUUAUUAAACUUAUUAUUAUUCUUCCGCCGAUUUUUGGACCGCUUCUCCUCCUUCAAACUUUGUCCGAUUUCAACCGUUCAAACUUUAAACUAUUCCACUCAUUCAGGACAUUAUGGCGUCUAUUUUUUUCCUUUCUACCCUUUAUACUUUUUGUUUUUUUUAACUUUUUGUGCAAAAUUUGUACCAUUAAAAAUGAAUGGGGAAAUCUUAAAAUCUACCUUUUCCUCUUCCACCUUCUAGACCUUAUAACUUCAGCAUACUUUCACCUAGAGACCUAAUUUUUGCUUUAAAAUGUUCAUUCACUUGUCGACUAUUAAAGUUGUACUCAGUUUUUUGAUAUCUUUUACAGUUUUUCCACAAUUUAGCUUUAAGCAACUUGUGGUUUUCAGCAAAUUUCAAGCUUUAUAAUGGGUGUGUAUUGGAGAGUUUAGAGUGAUGAUGUCAUCAGCUAGAGUGCAGACCUCGUCUCUGAUCGACAGAACCUCGCUCGAAUAUAUCGCUCCCACGCCCACAAAUCUCACUCCACUGACACAAAUAAUACAUCAAAAUGGAGGUAUAUGUGUCCUGCUUCUCACAAAAGAGGUUUCAAAUCAUUAAAUCGUACCCCUUGGCCAGCAGGUGACCAACUGUCCAAAAAAGGCGGAAAUCUCUCCCAUUGACCAUAAUGUUAUUUUUCUCCAGGAAAAUCCGGAUCAUCGCUCAGGCUCAGACUUUUUUAACUCGCUGUUGUGGCCUCAUUUUUCGAAGUACAGACAUGAAAAACACAUCAUUGUGUUCAUGAAGGACGGAGGAUUCGUACGAUGUUCUUAUUUUCAUUCUGGGACUUAAGGAAAUCACGCUAUGUGAAGAAGUUCACAGGCUGAAAUUCACUGCAGUUCAGCACCUCUCAGUCAAACAGUUGGUUAGUGAUUUGCCUUUGAUCUCACAGCUGUUUAGGAUGCAAUCAUUAACGAGACACACAUACACACACACACACACACACACACACACACACACACACACACACACACACACACACACACACACACAUUCUUGUACUUGUUGCUUUUUGAGGUCCACCUUGCAGUUCAGCUGCUUGUACACACAGUUAAUAUGUGUCUGCUUCACCACCUAUCUCCACCCACAAACUUUGAGCUACAGAAACCAUUCUGGGCUUCAAAAAUUCAGCUCAUUGAAGAUAUUAUGGGGUGUUUUGAGGAUUGUGAUAAUAAAUUGUAUUAAUGUGUUCAGCAGAGUCUUGUGUUCUCACAAGCUCCUUAUGAAUAUAUACAGAGGGUGAGCGUCAGGGCCUACUUGGAGUCCUGUUUCUUUAGCUUCAAGCCUUCUUUCUCCUGCUAUAGUUAUGCAUCCAAGGUCCCCAUGGCAACCAAUUUGUGCACCUGGAGACACACAGCUGACUGGAAAGCUGCUUCUAGUGGCCAUAUGAGACACAUGAAGCCAGGCUCAGUACACAUAGCAAUUGGGAUGACACUUAAAACCCUUUCCUAGAGCGUUGGAAAAAACUUCAGCCCCUAUCUCCUCACAUGACCUUUGACCUACAGAAACCAUUCAGGGCUUUGAAAUUUAAGCUCAUUGAGGACAUUAUUGGGUGUAUUUAGGAUUGUUAUUCAUUUAAAUUUUUCACAUUUUAAAAGUCACUCAGUGAUGAUUUAUCAUUUAAUUUUUCAAACUAAUUUAAACUCAUUCAAACUGAUUCAAACCUUUCUAAUACUUCAAAACUUUCUGAUACUUGAGGACUUUUGAUAAUUUAAAUUUUCCCUGUUUUAAAUUAGUUUUAAUAUUUAUGCAUUACUCCAUCAUUCAAACAAAAUCCUACCUCAAGUACGACAACUACUGCUAAUGUCAAUUAAACUAGAACUUUCCCCUCUACUUCAACUGCUAUUGCUCCUAUUUCUACUUUCUUUACUACUUUGACUUAUACUUCUUUUAUUCUCAAUCUACUUCUACUGCUGACAUGACUACUAGUAUCACGACUUGACUUCUUAUCAUACUACUUCUAGUACUACAACUGAAUCUUAUGCCACUUCUCACCUUCCUGCCUUUUAAGGCAAUUUCCUUCUUCAUUAAAACUUUGUGCAAUUUUCGACAUUUUUCUAGCCUCUUUCAGCAUGAAUAAAAUUUCCUUUUAUAGAGCAUAUUCAUACUAUUUGUCCUUCAACCAAUUAAUCAAUUAUCCAACUUAUAUUUCUGUUCACCCCUUCAACAGCUUUAACAUUUAUACCUUUCUCCAUGUUUUAUUAGCAGUUUAGCAUUGCUUUUUCAGCUUUCAGCACUCAGCAUUUCCACGCAUUUUCUGCAAGGAAAUGCAAUUUUUCUAGUAUUAUACUUAACACUCUCCCCAUACGUUUCUUUGGACCGCUUCUCCUCCUUCAAACUUUGUCCGAUUUCAACCGUUCAAACUUUAAACUAUUACACUCCAUCGGGACAUGAUGGCUAUUACUUUUCUCUUUUCUACCCUUUAUACUUUUUAUUAUUUUUCACUUUUUGUCUCAAACUUUUUUUCCCAUAGAAAUGAAUGGGGAAAUCUUCCAAUUCUUCUUUUUCUUCUUCCACCUUCUAAGCCUUAUAACUUCAGCAUACUUUCACCUAGAGACCUCAUUUUUGCUUUAAAAUGUUCAUUCACUUGUCGACUAUUGAUGUUGUAUUAACUUUUUUGUGCUAUCUUCUACAGUUUUCCCCCAAUUUAGCUUGAAGCACCUCGUGGUUUUCAGCAAUUUUCAGGCUUUAUAAUGGGGGUGUAUUGGAGAGGCUAGAGUGAUGAUUUGAAAAGCUAGAGUGCAGACCUCGUCUCUGAUCGACAGAACCUCGCUCAAAUAUAUCGCUCCCACGCCCACAAAUCUCACUCCACAGCCAUAAAAAAUACAUCAAAAUGGAGGUAUAUGUGUCCUGCUUCUUACAAAAGAGGUUUCGAAUCAUUAAAUGGUACUCCUUGGCCAGCAGGUGACCAACUGUCCAAAUAGGCGGAAAUCUCUCCCCAUUAGACCUAAUGUAUUUCUUCUCCAAGAAAAUCCUUAUCCCCACUCAGGCUCAGACUUUUUUAACUCGCUGUUGUGGCCACAUUUUUCGGAGUACAGACAUGAAAAACACAUCAUUGUGUUCAUGAAGGGCGGAGGAUUCGUACGAUGUUCUUAUUUUCAUUCUGGGACUUAAGGAAAUCACGCUAUGUGAAGAAGUUCAGAGGCUAUAAAUCCUCAGCAGUUCAGCACCUCUCAGUCAAACAGUAGGUCAGUGAUUUGCCUUUGAUCUCACAGCUGUUUAGGAUGCAGUCAUUAACGAGACACACACACACACACACACACACACACACACACACACACACACACACACACACACAUUCUUGUACUUGUUGCAUUGUCAGGUCUACCUUGCAGUUCAGCUGCUUGUACACACAGUUAAUAUGUGUCUGCUUCACCACCUAUCUCCACCCACAAACUUUGAGCUACAGAAACCAUUCUGGGCUUGAAAAAUUCAGCUCAUUGAAGAUAUUAUGGGGUGUUUUGAGGAUUGUGAUAAUAAAUUGUAUUAAUGUGUUCAGCAGAGUCUUGUGUUCUCACAAGCUCCUUAUCAUGAAUAUAUACAGAGGAUGAGCGUCAGGGCCUACUUGGAGUCCUGUUUCCUUAGCUUCAAGCCUUCUUUCUCCUGCUAUAGUUAUGCAUCCAAGGUCCCCAUGGCAACCAAUUUGUGCACCUGGAGACACACAGCUGACUGGAAAGCUGCUUCUAAUGGCCAUAUGAGACACAUGAAGCCAGGCUCAGUACACAUAGCACUGGGGAUGACACUUAAAACCCUUUCCUAGAGCGCUUGAAAAAACUUCAGCCCCUAUCUCCUCACAUGACCUUUGACCUACAGAAACCAUUCAGGGCUUUAAAAUUUAAGCUCAUUGAGGACAUUAUGGGGUGUAUUCAGGAUUUAUAUUCAUUUACAUUUUUCACUUUUAUAAGUCACUCAUUGAUGAUUUAUCAUUUAAUUUUUCAAACUAAUUUAAACUCAUUCAAACUGAUACUUGAGGAUUUUUAAGUAUUUAAAUUUUCCAUGUUUUAAAUUAGUUUUAAUAUUCAUGCAUUACUCCAUCCUUCAAACAAAAUCCUACCUCAAGUACGACAACUACUGCUAAUGUCAAUUUAACUAGUACUUUCCCCUCUACUUCAACUGCUAUUGCUCCUAUUUCUACUUUCUCUACUUCAACUGCUAUUGCUAUAGUUCUUUUAUUCUCAAACUACUUCUACUGCUGACAUGACUACUAGUAUCACGACUUGACUUCUUAUCAUACUACUUCUAGUACUACAACUUAAACUUAUGCCACUUCUCACCUUCCUGCCUUUUAAGGCAAUUUCCUUCUUCAAUCGAACUUUGUGCAAUUUUAGACAUUUUUCUAGCCUCUUUAAGCAUGAAUCAAAUUUCCUUUUAUAGAGCAUAUUCAUACUAUUUGUCCUUACUUACUAUACUUCUUUUUCACCCCUUCAACAGCUUUAACAUUUAUACCUUUCUCCAUGUUUUAUUAGCAGUUUAGCAUUGCUUUUUCAGCUUUCAGCACUCAGCAUUUCCACGCAUUUUCUGCAAGGAAAUGCAAUUUUUCUAGUUAUACUUAACACUCUCCCCAUACGUUUCUUUGGACCGCUUCUCCUCCUUCAAACUUUGUCCGAUUUCAACCGUUCAAACUUUAAACUAUUCCGCUCUAUCAGGACAUGAUGGCUAUUACUUUUCUCUUUUCUACCCUUUAUACUUUUUAUUAUUUUUCACUUUUUGUGCCAAACUUUUUUUCCCAUAGAAAUGAAUGGGGAAAUGUUCCAAUUCUUCCUGUUAUUCGUCCACUUUCUAUGCCUUAUAACUUCAGCAUACUUUCACCUAGAGACCUAAUUUUUGCUUUAAAAUGUUCAUUGUCUUGUCGACUAUUGAUGUUGUAUUAACCUUUUUUUGCUAUCUUUUACAGUUUUUCCACAAUUUAGCUUUAUGCAACUUGUGGUUUUCAGCAAAUUUCAGGCUUUAUAAUGGGGGUGUAUUGGAGAGGCUAGAGUGAUGAUUUGAAAAGCUAGAGUGCAGACCUCGUCUCUGAUCGACAGAACCUCGCUCGAAUAUAUCGCUCCCACGCCCACAAAUCUCACUCCACAGCCAUAAAAAAUACAUCAAAAUGGAGGUAUAUGUGUCCUGCUUCUCAAAAAAGAGGUUUCAAAUCAUUAACUCGUACCCCUUGGCCAGCAGGUGACCAACUGUCCAAAUAGGCGCAAAUCUCUCCCCAUUGGCCCUAAUGUAUUUUUUCUCCAAGAAAAUCCUUAUCGUCCCUCAGGCUCAGACUUUUUUAACUCGCUGUUGUGGCCACAUUUUUUGGAGUACAGACAUGAAAAACAGAUCAUUGUGUUCAUGAAGGAUGGAGGAUUCGUACGAUGUUCUUAUUUUCAUUCUGGGAUUUAAGGAAAUCGUGCUAUGUGAAGAAGUUCAGAACCCUAAAUUCACUGCAGUUCGGCAGCUUCUCCAUUCAAACAAUAGGUUAGUUAAUGCUUUGAUCUCACAGCUGUUUAGGAUGCAAUCAUUAACGAGACACACACACACACACACACACACACACACACACACACACACACAGAUUCUUGUACUUUUUGCUGUCAGGUCUACCUUGCAGUUCAGCUGCUUGUAUACACAGUUAAUAUGUGUCUGCUUCACCACCUAUCUCCACCCACAAACUUUGAGCUACAGAAACCAUUCUGGGCUUCUAAAAUUCAGCUCAUUGAAGAUAUUAUGGGGUGUUUUGAGGAUUGUGAUAAUAAAUUGUAUUAAUGUGUUCAGCAGAGUCUUGUGUUCUCACAAGCUCCUUAUCAUGAAUUUAUACAGAGGAUGAGCAUCAGGGCCUACUUGGAGUCCUGUUUCCUUAGCUUCAAGCCUUCUUUCUCCUGCUAUAGUUAUGCAUCCAAGGUCCCCAUGGCAACCAAUUUGUGCACCUGGAGACACACAGCUGACUGAAAAGCUGCUUCUAAUGGCCAUAUGAGACACAUGAAGCCAGGCUCAGUACACAUAACACUGGGGAUGACAUUUAAAACCCUUUCCUAGAGCGCUUGAAAAAACUUCAGCCCCUAUCUCCUCACAUGACCUUUGACCUACAGAAACCAUUCAGGGCUUUGAAAUUUAAGCUCAUUGAGGACAUUAUUGGGUGUAUUUAGGAUUUAUUUUCAUUUAAAUUUUUCACAUUUUAAAGUCACUCAGUGAUGAUUUAUCAUUUAAUUUUUCAAACUAAUUUAAACUCAUUCAAACUGAUUCAAACCUUUCUAAUACUUCAAAACUUUCUGAUACUUGUGAAAUUUAAUUAUUUAAAUUUUCCAUGUUUAAAUUAGUUUUAAUAUUUAUGCAUUACUCCAUCCUUCAAAAAAAAUCCUACCUCAAGUACGACAACUACUGCUAAUGUCAAUUAAACUAGUACUUUCCCCUCUACUUCAACUGCUAUUGCUCCUAUUUCUACUUUCUUUACUACUUUGACUUAUACUUCUUUUAUUCUCAAUCUACUUCUACUGCUGACAUGACUACUAGUAUCACGACUUGACCUCUUAUCAUACUACUUCUAGUACUACAACUUAAACUUAUGCCACUUCUCACCUUCCUGCCUUUUAAGGCAGUUUCCUUCUUCAUUCAAACUUUGUGCAAUUUUCGACAUUUUUCUAGCCUCUUUCAGCAUGAAUAAAAUUUCCAUUUAUAGAGCAUAGUCAUACUAUUUGUCCUUCAACCAAUUAAACAGUUAUCCAACUUAUAUUUCUUUUUCACCCCUUCAACAGCUUUAACAUUUAUACCUUUCUCCAUGUUUUAUUAGCAGUUUAGCAUUGCUUUUUCAGCUUUCAGCACUCAGCAUUUCCACGCAUUUUCUGCAAGGAAAUGCAAUUUUUCUAGUUAUUAUUAUUAUUCUUCCGUCCCUUUUUUGGACCGCUUCUCCUCCUUCAAACUUUGUCCGAUUUCAACCGUUCAAACUUUAAACUAUUCCACUCCUUCAGGACAUGAUGGCGUCUAUUUUUUUUCUUUCUACCCUUUAUACUUUUUGUUUUUUUUAACUUUUUGUGCAAAAAUUUUAACAUUGAAGUCAAUGGGGAAAUCUUCAACUUCUUCCUUUCAUUCUUCCACCUUCUAGACCUUAUAACUUCAGCAUACUUUCAUCUAGAGACCUCAUUUUUGCUUUAAAAUGUUCAUUCACUUGUCGACUAUUAUAGUUGUACUCAGUUUUUUGAUAUCUUUUACAGUUUUUCCACAAUUUAGCUUUAAGCAACUUGUGGUUUUCAGCAAAUUUCAGGCUUUAUAAUGGGUGUGUAUUGGAGAGUUUAGAGUGAUGAUGUCAUCAGCUAGAGUGCAGACCUCGUCUCUGAUCGACAGAACCUCGCUCGAAUAUAUCGCUCCCACGCCCACAAAUCUCACUCCACUGACACAAAUAAUACAUCAAAAUGGAGGUAUAUGUGUCCUGCUUCUCACAAAAGAGUUUUCAAAUCAUUAAAUCGUACCCCUUGGCCAGCAGGUGACCAACUGUCCAAAUAAGCGCAAAUAUCUCCCCAUUGGCCCUAAUGUAUUUCUUCUCCAAGAAAAUCCUUAUCGUUACUCAGGCUCAGACUUUUUUAACUCGCUGUUGUGGCCACAUUUUUCGGAGUACAGACAUGAAAAACACAUCAUUGUGUUCAUGAAGGACGGAGGAUUCGUACGAUGUUCUUAUUUUCAUUCUGGGACUUAAGGAAAUCGUGCUAUGUGAAGAAGUUCACAGGCUUCAAAACCUCUGCUGUUCAGCUGCUUCUCAUUCAAACAGUAGGUCAGUGAUUUGCCUUUGAUCUCACAGCUGUUAGGGAUGCAGUCAUUAAUGAGACACACACACACACACACACACAUUCUUGUACUUGUUGCAUUGUCAGGUCUACCUUGCAGUUCACCUGCUUGUACACACAGAUAAUGUGUGUCUGCUUCACCACCUAUCUCCACCCACAAACUUUGAGCUACAGAAACCAUUCUGGGCUUGAAAAAUUCAGCUCAUUGAAGAUAUUAUGGGGUGUUUUGAGGAUUGUGAUAAUAAAUUGUAUUAAUGUGUUCAGCAGAGUCUUGUGUUCUCACAAGCUCCUUAUCAUGAAUAUAUACAGAGGAUGAGUUUCAGGGCCUACUUGGAGUCCUGUUUCCUUAGCUUCAAGCCUUCUUUCUCCUGCUAUAGUUAUGCAUCCAAGGUCCCCAUGGCAACCAAUUAGUGCACCUGGAGACACACAGCUGACUUGAAAGCUUCUUCUAAUAGCCAUAUGAGACACAUGAAACCAGGCUCAGUACACAUAGCACUGGGGAUGACACUUACAACCCUUUCCUAGAGCGCUUGAAAAAACUUCAGCCCCUAUCUCCUCACAUGACCUUUGACCUACAGAAACCAUUCAGGGCUUUAAAAUUUAAGCUCAUUGAGGACAUUAUGGGGUGUAUUUAGGAUUUAUAGUCAUUUAAAUUUUUCACAUUUUAAAGUCACUCAGUGAUGAUUUAUCAUUUAAUUUCUCAAACUAAUUUUAACUCAUUCAAACUGAUUCAAACCUUUCUAAUACUUUAAAACUUUCUGAUACUUGAGGAUUUUUAAUUAUUUAAAUUUUCCAUGUUUUAAAUUAGUUUUAAUAUUUAUGCAUUACUCCAUCCUUCAAACAAAAUCCUACCUCCAGAGCUACAACUACUGCUAAUGUCAAUUAAACUAGUACUUUCCCCUCUACUUCAACUGCUAUUGCUCCUAUUUCUACUUUCUCUACUGCUGCUAUCGCUACUAUUUCUACUUUCUUUACUGCUUUGACUUAUACUUCUUUUAUUCUCAAACUACUUCUACUGCUUACAUGACUACUAGUAUAACGACUUGACCUCUUAUCAUACUACUUCUAGUACUACAACUUAAACUUAUGCCACUUCUCACCUUCCUGCCUUUUAAGGCAAUUUCCUUCCUCAUUCAAACUUUGUGCAAUUUUAGACAUUUUUCUAGCCUCUUUCAGCAUGAAUAAAAUUUCCUUUUAUAGAGCAUAUUCAUACUAUUUGUCCUUCAACCAAUUAAACCAUUAUCCAACUUAUAUUUCUUUUUCACCCCUUCAACAGCUUUAACAUUUAAACCUUUCUCAACAUUUUAUUAGCAGUUUAGCAUUGCUUUUUCAGCUUUCAGCACUCAGCAUUUCCACGCAUUUUCUGCAAGGAAAUGCAAUUUUUCUAGUUAAGUGGAAAUGCUGAUAGGCAUUUCCACUUAUUGUUAUUCUCCCGUUUCUUUAUUAUUAUUAUUAUUAUUAUUAUUAUUAUUCUUCCGCCGUUUUUCGUCCGCUUUCAACUCCUUCCCAGUUUGUGCGAUUUCAACCGUUCAAACUUUAAACUAUUCCACUCCUUCAGGACACGUUUGCUAUUACUUUUCACUUUUCUAACAUUUAUACUUUUUGUUUUUUUUAACUUUUUGUGCAAAAAUUUUAACAUUGAAGUCAAUGGGGAAAUCUUCCAAUUCUUCCUUUUAUUCUUCCACCUUCUAGACCUUAUAACUUCAGCAUACUUUCACCUAGAGACCUCAUUUUUGCUUUAAAAUGUUCAUUCACUUGUCGACUAUUAUAGUUGUACUCAGUUUUUUGAUAUCUCUUACAGUUUUUCCACAAUUUAGCUUUAAGCAACUUGUGGUUUUCAGCAAAUUUCAAGCUUUAUAAUGGGUGUGUAUUGGAGAGUUUAGAGUGAUGAUGUCAUCAGCUAGAGUGCAGACCUCGUCUCUGAUCGACAGAACCUCGCUCGAAUAUAUCGCUCCCACGCCCACAAAUCUCACUCCACUGACACAAAUAAUACAUCAAAAUGGAGGUAUAUGUGUCCUGCUUCUCACAAAAGAGGUUUCAAAUCAUUAAAUCCUACCCCUUGGCCAGCAGGUGACCAACUGUCCAAAAAAGGCGGAAAUCUCUCCCAUUGACCAUAAUGUUAUUUUUCUCCAAGAAAAUCCGGAUCAUCGCUCAGGCUCAGACUUUUUUAACUCGCUGUUGUGGCCUCAUUUUUCGAAGUACAGACAUGAAAAAGACAUCAUUGUGUUCAUGAAGGGCGGAGGAUUCGUACGAUGUUCUUAUUUUCAUUCUGGGACUUAAGGAAAUCACGCUAUGUGAAGAAGUUUAGAGCCUCUAAAUCCUCUGCAGUUCAGCUGCUUCUCAUUCAAACAGUAGGUCAGUGAUUUGCCUUUGAUCUCACAGCUGUUUAGGAUGCAGUCAUUAACGACACACACACACACACACACACACACAUUCUUGUACUUGUUGCUUUAUGAGGUCUACCUUGCAGUUCAGCUGCUUGUACACACAGUUAAUAUGUGUCUGCUUCACCACCUAUCUCCACCCACAAACUUUGAGCUACAGAAACCAUUCUGGGCUUCUAAAAUUCAGCUCAUUGAAGAUAUUAUGGGGUGUUUUGAGGAUUGUGAUAAUAAAUUGUAUUAAUGUGUUCAGCAGAGUCUUGUGUUCUCACAAGCUCCUUAUCAGGAAUAGAUACAGAGGAUGAGCGUCAGGGCCUACUUGGAGUCCUGUUUCCUUAGCUUCAAGCCUUCUUUCUCCUGCUAUAGUUAUGCAUCCAAGGUCCCCAUGGCAACCAAUUUGUGCACCUGGAGACACACAGCUGACUGGAAAGCUGCUUCUAAUGGCCAUAUGAGACACAUGAAGCCAGGCUCAGUACACAUAGCACUGGGGAUGACACUUAAAACCCUUUCCUAGAGCGCUUGAAAAAACUUCAGCCCCUAUCUCCUCACAUGACCUUUGACCUACAGAAACCAUUCAGGGCUUUAAAAUUUGAGCUCAUUGAGGACAUUAUGGGGUGUAUUUAGGAUUUAUAUUCAUUUAAAUUUUUCACAUUUUAAAGUCACUCAGUGAUGAUUUAUCAUUUAAUUUUUCAAACUAAUUUAAACUCAUUCAAACUGAUUCAAACCUUUCUAAUACUUAAAAAAUUAAACUUAUGCCACUUCUCACCUUCCUGCCUUUUAAGGCAAUUUCCUUCUUCAUUCAAACUUUGUGCAAUUUUAGACAUUUUUCUAGCCUCUUUCAGCAUGAAUAAAAUUUCCUUUUAUAGAGCAUAUUCAUACUAUUUGUCCUUCAACCAAUUAAUCAAUUAUCCAACUUAUAUUUCUGUUCACCCCUUCAACAGCUUUAACAUUUAUACCUUUCUCCAUGUUUUAUUAGCAGUUUAGCAUUGCUUUUUCAGCUUUCAGCACUCAGCAUUUCCACGCAUUUUCUGCAAGGAAAUGCAAUUUUUCUAGUUAAGUGGAAAUGCUGAUAGGCAUUUCCACUUAUUGUUAUUCUCCCGUUUCUUUAUUAUUAUUAUUAUUAUUAUUAUUAUUAUUCUUCCGCCGUUUUUCGUCCGCUUUCAACUCCUUCCCAGUUUGUCCGAUUUCAACCGUUCAAACUUUAAACUAUUCCACUCCUUCAGGACACGUUUGCUAUUACUUUUCACUUUUCUAACAUUUAUACUUUUUGUUUUUUUUAACUUUUUGUGCAAAAAUUUUAACAUUGAAGUCAAUGGGGAAAUCUUCCAAUUCUUCCUUUUAUUCUUCCACCUUCUAGACCUUAUAACUUCAGCAUACUUUCACCUAGAGACCUCAUUUUUGCUUUAAAAUGUUCAUUCACUUGUCGACUAUUAAAGUUGUACUCAGUUUUUUGAUAUCUCUUACAGUUUUUCCACAAUUUAGCUUUAAGCAACUUGUGGUUUUCAGCAAAUUUCAAGCUUUAUAAUGGGUGUGUAUUGGAGAGUUUAGAGUGAUGAUGUCAUCAGCUAGAGUGCAGACCUCGUCUCUGAUCGACAGAACCUCGCUCGAAUAUAUCGCUCCCACGCCCACAAAUCUCACUCCACUGACACAAAUAAUACAUCAAAAUGGAGGUAUAUGUGUCCUGCUUCUCACAAAAGAGGUUUCAAAUCAUUAAAUCGUACCCCUUGGCCAGCAGGUGACCAACUGUCCAAAGAAGGCGGAAAUCUCUCCCAUUGACCAUAAUGUUAUUUUUCUCCAAGAAAAUCCGGAUCAUCGCUCAGGCUCAGACUUUUUUAACUCGCUGUUGUGGCCACAUUUGUCGGAGUACAGACAUGAAAAAUACAUCAUUGUGUUCAUGAAGGGCGGAGGAUUCGUACGAUGUUCUUAUUUUCAUUCUGUGACUUAAGGAAAUCACGCUAUGUGAAGAAGUUUAGAGCCUCUAAAUCCUCUGCAGUUCAGCUGCUUCUCAUUCAAACAGUAGGUCAGUGAUUUGCCUUUGAUCUCACAGCUGUUUAGGAUGCAGUCAUUAACGAGACACACACACACACACACACACACACACACACAUUCUUGUACUUGUUGCUUUAUGAGGUCUACCUUGCAGUUCAGCUGCUUGUACACACAGUUAAUAUGUGUCUGCUUCGCCACCUAUCUCCACCCACAAACUUUGAGCUACAGAAACCAUUCUGGGCUUCAAAAAUUCAGCUCAUUGAAGAUAUUAUGGGGUGUUUUGAGGAUUGUGAUAAUAAAUUGUAUUAAUGUGUUUAGCAGAGUCUUGUGUUCUCACAAGCUCCUUAUCAGGAAUAGAUACAGAGGAUGAGCGUCAGGGCCUACUUGGAGUCCUGUUUCCUUAGCUUCAAGCCUUCUUUCUCCUGCUAUAGUUAUGCAUCCAAGGUCCCCAUGGCAACCAAUUAGUGCACCUGGAGACACACAGCUGACUGGAAAGCUGCUUCUAAUGGCCAUAUGAGACACAUGAAGCCAGGCUCAGCACACAUAGCACUGGGGAUGACACUUAAAACCCUUUACUAGAGUGCUUGAAAAAACUUCAGCCCCUAUCUCCUCACAUGACCUUUGACCUACAGAAACCAUUCAGGGCUUUAAAAUUUGAGCUCAUUGAGGACAUUAUGGGGUGUAUUUAGGAUUUAUAUACAUUUAGAUUUUUCACAUUUUAAAGUCACUCAGUGAUGAUUUAUCAUUUAAUUUUUCAAACUAAUUUGAACUGAUUCAAACUGAUUCAAACCUUUCUAAUACUUAAAAAAUUAAACUUAUGGCACUUCUCACCUUCCUGCCUUUUAAGGCAAUUUCCUUCUUCAUUCAAACUUUGUGCAAUUUUAGACAUUUUUCUAGCCUCUUUCAGCAUGAAUAAAAUUUCUUUUUAUAGAGCAUAUUCAUACUAUUUGUCCUUCAACCAAUUAAUCAAUUAUCCAACUUACAUUUCUUUCACACCCCUUAGACAGCUUUAACAUUUAUACAUUUCUCCAUGUUUUAUUAGCAGUUUUGCAUUGCUUUUUCAGCUUUCAGCACUCAGCAUUUCCACGCAUUUUCUGCAAGGAAAUGCAAUUUUUCUAGUUAUUAUUAUUAUUCUUCCGCCGUUUUUCGUCCGCUUUCAACUCCUUCCCAGUUUGUGCGAUUUCAACCAUUCAAACUUUAAACUAUUCCACUCCUUCAGGACACGUUUGCUAUUACUUUUCACUUUUCUAACAUUUAUACUUUUUGUUUUUUUUAACUUUUUGUGCAAAAAUUUUAACAUUGAAGUCAAUGGGGAAAUCUUCCAAUUCUUCCUUUUAUUCUUCCACCUUCUAGACCUUAUAACUUCAGCAUACUUUCACCUAGAGACCUCAUUUUUGCUUUAAAAUGUUCAUUCACUUGUCGACUAUUACAGUUGUACUCAGUUUUUUGAUAUCUCUUACAGUUUUUCCACAAUUUAGCUUUAAGCAACUUGUGGUUUUCAGCAAAUUUCAAGCUUUAUAAUGGGUGUGUAUUGGAGAGUUUAGAGUGAUGAUGUCAUCAGCUAGAGUGCAGACCUCGUCUCUGAUCGACAGAACCUCGCUCGAAUAUAUCGCUCCCACGCCCACAAAUCUCACUCCACUGACACAAAUAAUACAUCAAAAUGGAGGUAUAUGUGUCCUGCUUCUCACAAAAGAGGUUUCAAAUCAUUAAAUCGUACCCCUUGGCCAGCAGGUGACCAACUGUCCAAGGAAGGCGGAAAUCUCUCCCAUUGACCGUAAUGUUAUUUUUCUCCAAGAAAAUCCGGAUCAUCGCUCAGGCUCAGACUUUUUUAACUCGCUGUUGUGGCCUCAUUUUUCGAAGUACAGACAUGAAAAACACAUCAUUGUGUUCAUGAAGGGCGGAGGAUUCGUACGAUGUUCUUAUUUUCAUUCUGGGAUUUAAGGAAAUCACGCUAUGUGAAGAAGUUCAGAGGCUACAAAUCCUCAGCAGUUCAGCACCUCUCAGUCAAACAGUAGGUCAGUGAUUUGCCUUUGAUCUCACAGCUGUUUAGGAUGCAGUCAUUAACGACACACACACACACACACACACACAUUCUUGUACUUGUUGCUUUAUGAGGUCUACCUUGCAGUUCAGCUGCUUGUACACACAGUUAAUAUGUGUCUGCUUCGCCACCUAUCUCCACCCACAAACUUUGAGCUACAGAAACCAUUCUGGGCUUCUAAAAUUCAGCUCAUUGAAGAUAUUAUGGGGUGUUUUGAGGAUUGUGAUAAUAAAUUGUAUUAAUGUGUUUAGCAGAGUCUUGUGUUCUCACAAGCUCCUUAUCAGGAAUAGAUACAGAGGAUGAGCGUCAGGGCCUACUUGGAGUCCUGUUUCCUUAGCUUCAAGCCUUCUUUCUCCUGCUAAAGUUAUGCAUCCAAGGUCCCCAUGGCAACCAAUUUGUGCACCUGGAGACACACAGCUGACUGGAAAGCUGCUUCUAAUGGCCAAAUGAGACACAUGAAGCCAGGCUCAGUACACAUAGCACUGGGGAUGACACUUAAAACCCUUUCCUAGAGCGCUUGAAAAAACUUCAGCCCCUAUCUCCUCACAUGACCUUUGACCUACAGAAACCAUUCAGGGCUUUAAAAUUUAAGCUCAUUGAGGACAUUAUGGGGUGUAUUCAGGAUUUUUAUUUAUUUACAUUUUUCACUUUUAUAAGUCACUCAUUGAUGAUUUAUCAUUUAAUUUUUCAAACUAAUUUAAACUCAUUCAAACUGAUACUUGAGGAUUUUUAAGUAUUUAAAUUUUCCAUGUUUUCAAUUAGUUUUAAUAUUCAUGCAUUACUCCAUCCUUCAAACAAAAUCCUACCUCAAGUACGACAACUACUGCUAAUGUCAAUUGAACUAGUACUUUCCCCUCUACUUCAACUGCUAUUGCUCCUAUUUCUACUUUCUCUACUUCAACUGCUAUUGCUACUGUUUCUACUUUCUCUACUAUUUUGACUUAUACUUCUUUUAUUCUCAAACUACUUCUACUGCUGACACGACUACUAGUAUCACGACUUGACCUCUUAUCAUACUACUUCUAGUACUAAAACUUAAACUAAUGCCACUUCUCACCUUCCUGCCUUUUAAGGCAAUUUCCUUCUUCAUUCAAACUUUGUGCAAUUUUAGACAUUUUUCUAGCCUCAUUCAGCAUGAAUCAAAUUUCCUUUUAUAGAGCAUAUUCAUACUAUUUGUCCUUCAACCAAUUAAACCAUUAUCCAACUUAUAUUUCUUUUUCACCCCUUCAAAAGCUUUAACAUUUAUACCUUUCUCCAUGUUUUCUUAGCAGUUUAGCAUUGCUUUUUCAGCUUUCAGCACUCAGCAUUUCCACGCAAUUUCUGCAAGGAAAUGCAAUUUUUCUAGUUAUUAUUAUUAAGUGGAAAUGCUGAUUAAGCAUUUCCACUUAUUGUUAUUCUCCCGUUUCUUUAUUAUUAUUAUUAUUCUUCCGCCGUUUUUCGUCCGCUUUCAACUCCUUCCCAGUUUGUGCGAUUUCAACCGUUCAAACUUUAAACUAUUCCACUCCUUCAGGACACGUUUGCUAUUACUUUUCACUUUUCUAACAUUUAUACUUUUUGUUUUUUUUAACUUUUUGUGCAAAAAAUUUUAACAUUGAAGUCAAUGGGGAAAUCUUCCAAUUCUUCCUUUUUUUCUUCCACCUUCUAGACCUUAUAACUUCAGCAUACUUUCACCUAGAGACCUCAUUUUUGCUUUAAAAUGUUCAUUCACUUGUCGACUAUUACAGUUGUACUCAGUUUUUUGACAUCUCUUACAGUUUUUCCACAAUUUAGCUUUAAGCAACUUGUGGUUUUCAGCAAAUUUCAAGCUUUAUAAUGGGUGUGUAUUGGAGAGUUUAGAGUGAUGAUGUCAUCAGCUAGAGUGCAGACCUCGUCUCUGAUCGACAGAACCUCGCUCGAAUAUAUCGCUCCCACGCCCACAAAUCUCACUCCACUGACACAAAUAAUACAUCAAAAUGGAGGUAUAUGUGUCCUGCUUCUCACAAAAGAGGUUUCAAAUCAUUAAAUCGUACCCCUUGGCCAGCAGGUGACCAACUGUCCAAAGAAGGCGGAAAUCUCUCCCAUUGACCGUAAUGUUAAUUUUCUCCAAGAAAAUCCGGAUCAUCGCUCAGGCUCAGACUUUUUUAACUCGCUGUUGUGGCCACAUUUGUCGGAGUACAGACAUGAAAAAUACUUCAUUGUGUUCAUGAAGGGCGGAGGAUUCGUACGAUGUUCUUAUUUUCAUUCUGUGACUUAAGGAAAUCACGCUAUGUGAAGAAGUUCACAGGCUUCAAAUCCUCUGCUGUUCAGCUGCUUCUCAUUCAAACAGUAGGUCAGUGAUUUGCCUUUGAUCUCACAGCUGUUAGGGAUGCAGUCAUUAAUGAGACACACACACACACGCACACAUUCUUGUACUUGUUGCAUUGUCAGGUCUACCUUGCAGUUCACCUGCUUGUACACACAGAUAAUAUGUGUCUGCUUCACCACCUAUCUCCACCCACAAACUUUGAGCUACAGAAACCAUUCUGGGCUUCAAAAAUUCAGCUCAUUGAAGAUAUUAUGGGGUG
rnacentral:lncRNA from 1 species